ACUCAAUAGAUACCCAGGUAGUCCCAGCUGUAAACGAUGCAGACUCGGUGAUGGGCUAGCCUUGUGCUAUCCCAGUGCCGCAGGGAAGCCGUUAAGUCUGCCGCCUGGGGAGUACGGUCGCAAGACUGAAACUUAAAGGAAUUGGCGGGGAGCACCACAAGGGGUGAAGCCUGCGGUUCAAUUGGAGUCAACGCCGGGAAUCUUACCGGGGGUCGGACAGCAGAAUGAAGGUCAAGCUGAAGACUUUACUAGACAAGCUGAGAGGAGGUGCAUGGCCGUCGCCAGCUCGUGCCGUGAGGUGUCCUGUUAAGUCAGGUAACGAGCGAGACCCUACCUCUAGUUGCUACUGUUAUUCUCAGGAGUAACAGAGCUAAUUAGAGGGACCGCCGCCGCUGAGGCGGAGGAAGGAGGGGGCUACGGCAGGUCAGUAUGCCCCGGAAACCCGUCGGGCCGACACGCGGGCUGCAAUGGUAAGGACAAUGGUCUCCGAUUCCGAAAGGAGGAGGCAAUCCCUAAACCUUACCGACAGUUAUGAUUGAGGGCU
rnacentral:rRNA from 1 species